rnacentral:rRNA from 1 species
AGUCUAGCGUGUGCGCGAGUCGUUGGCACGACUCAGAGCCAAGGGCGAAAUGAAAGUGAAAGCCGACCUCGCGUCGGCCGACGGAGGAUGGGCGUUCCAGCGAGAACGCCCCGCACUCCGCGGGCGCCUCGUUCUCAUCGCGAGGAGAGGCGCACCGAGAGCGUACACGCUGGGACCCGAAAGAUGGUGAACUAUGCCUGGUCAGGACGAAGUCAGGGGAAACCCUGAUGGAGGUCCGUAGCGAUUCUGACGUGCAAAUCGAUCGUCGGAGCUGGGUAUAGGGGCGAAAGACUAAUCGAACCAUCUAGUAGCUGGUUCCCUCCGAAGUUUCCCUCAGGAUAGCUGGCGCUCGUGUCAAGAGUCUCAUCCGGUAAAGCGAAUGAUUAGAGGCGUCGGGGUCGAAACGACCUCGACCUAUUCUCAAACUUUAAAUGGGUGAGAACUCCGGCUUGCUCGAUCGAAGCCGGAGGCUCGGAUCAG